rnacentral:rRNA from 1 species
UACGAAGGGGGCUAGCGUUGUUCGGAAUCACUGGGCGUAAAGGGCGCGUAGGCGGCCAAUCAAGUCGGGGGUGAAAGCCUGUGGCUUAACCACAGAAUUGCCUUCGAUACUGUUUGGCUUGAGACCGGAAGAGGUAAGUGGAACUGCGAGUGUAGAGGUGAAAUUCGUAGAUAUUCGCAAGAACACCAGUGGCGAAGGCGGCUCACUGGCCCGAUACUGACGCUGAGGUGCGAAAGCGUGGGGAGCAAACAGG